UUUGUGAAUCUUUCAAGAAGCUCAACUUUCAGUUAGUACGUGAAGGAUUUCUUGCUAAUCUUCAGAUUUCUCCUACCUUGAAAGUCCAAGUCCAACAAGCUUAACUUCUUGAUCAAGGCUCUGAAUAUCAGAUGUUAGCAACCUAACAGUUCCUCACUCGAUCUAUUGCUCUUACACACGAAUUCGAGUAGCGAUCUGGGGAUACAAUCACCCCGUACACGAAUUGGGGAAGGAGUGGGGAAGAGGGAAGAAGGUAGCUACCAUCGCCGGUUUGGUUGAUCCACUGGAUGCCUCUGUCUCGGAUGCGUGGUGGUUAAGUAGGUCACGGCUCACACCCACUCUCGGUAGUGACUCCUUGGGUUGGGCUUCCUCAUCCUCGUGGCCGCCUGGUUGGCGAGGCUGUAGGCCUGGCCCCCCACCAGUUCUGACAUACUCCGCGCCCAAAUGUGGGCCGAGCCCGGGCCUCUCUGCCUUGUCUCCUCCCCGCUCCCUCCGUCACGGGAGGCCCCAUAGCGGCGGCCGGGUCAGGGUGGAGGCGGAAGGCCGUGGAAAGUCCGGCGUUUGUGGGCGCAGCAGGGUGAGGAGGUUGAUUACAAUUUUCGUCUGUACGAUGCCGGACGCACAAAAUACCCACGCCAUAGUGCAGUGGACGGCGGGCUCAGCGGGUGGGCGACAGCGGCAUGCUGUACGGCUGGCACCCCAACGGCUCUUUCGAAGCUAGUAGACAGGUAGCUGGAUGGAUUCCCUAGCACACAUGCGUGCAACUCGCCGGUACUUCCUGUACGUAGACUAAUUGCUUUGGGUGCUACUUAGCUUGGAUUGAAUCAACUCAGCUCUGUCAGCGGAACCUCUCGACAAGAACACUACAGGCGCAUCUCUUGCCUGUUUAUUUGCUUUA